CCAGGUAUGAGCAGAGCGAGUGGGGCUGGAAGGACCGAGAGAAACGGGAGGAAAUGACAGAUGACCGAGCCUGGUACCUCAUCGCGUGGGAAAACAGCUCCGUCCCUGUUGCCUUUUCUCACUUCCGGUUUGACGUGGAGUGUGGGGAUGAAGUCCUGUACUGGUCUAUGAGCUGCCAAGGACUGCAAGCUCCUCUGCCAGACCUUACAGCCUCUUCAUGUCCCAUCCUGCACGCUCACCUCUCUGCUUUCUUCACCUAGCUAUGAAGUGCAGUUGGAAAGCAAGGUGCGGCGGAAAGGCCUGGGGAAGUUCCUCAUACAGAUCCUGCAGCUCAUGGCCAACAGCACACAGAUGAAGAAGGUUAUGUUAACAGUAUUUAAACACAAUCAUGGUGCCUACCAGUUCUUCAGAGAAGCGUUGCAAUUUGAAAUUGAUGACUCUUCCCCCAGCAUGUCCGGUUGCUGUGGGGAGGAUUGCUCCUAUGAGAUCCUGAGCCGGAGGACCAAGUUUGGGGACAGCCAUCACUCCCACGCGGGUGGGCACUGUGGUGGCUGCUGCC
rnacentral:lncRNA from 1 species